AGAGCCGCAUCCCAUAGACCACGACCCCGUUUUCUCCCAACAUCCUCGAUCUCGAUCACCUCCAUCUCGUGAUGCCCACGAUCUCCCCUCUCUUCUUCCCACCCGGCCAGGCAGGGAAGCCGUUUAAUGAUCCGCCGCCGGCCGUGCUCGCGCGGGGUAGGGAGGCUGCCGCCGACCGUGCUCGCGCGGGAGGAGAGAGGCCGCCUCCAUCUGGCCGCCGCCGGCCGUUCUUGCGGGGGAGGAAGGAGGUUGUCUCCAUCUAGCCGCCGUCGGACGCGUCCACGCGGAGGAGCUAUCACCAUCGCCUCUCGUUUCCCCACGCCGCACAAGGUAGGCCAUGUCCACCUCGAGUCCAUCUCGGGAGAAGAUGCUCCCCUGCGUUGACCCCCUGCAGUCGUGAUUCAUCUGCUCCAUAAUAUCUGUAUACACAACAAAUAAUCUCUAUCUGCA
rnacentral:lncRNA from 1 species